rnacentral:tRNA from 1 species
AGGCGCAUGGCUCAACGGCAGAGCGCCACCGUGACGUGGUGGAGGUCCAGGUUCGACUCCUGGUGUGCCUA